rnacentral:rRNA from 1 species
GACCGUGUACAAGUUUCUUGGAAUAGAACGUCAUAGAGGGUGAGAAUCCCGUCCAUGACACGGACUACCGAUGCUUUGUGAUAUGCUCUCGAAGAGUCGAGUUGUUUGGGAAUGCAGCUCAAAAUGGGUGGUAAAUUCCAUCUAAAGCUAAAUAUUGGCGAGAGACCGAUAGCGAACAAGUACCGUGAGGGAAAGAUGAAAAGCACUUUGGAAAGAGAGUUAAACAGUACGUGAAAUUGUUGAAAGGGAAACGCUUGAAGUCAGUCGCGUUGGCAGAGACUCAGCCUUGCUUUGCAUGGUGUACUUCUCAGUUAACGGGUCAACAUCAAUUUCAGUUGGUGGAUAAAGGCAUUGGGAAUGUGGCACCUUCGGGUGUGUUAUAGACCUUUGUUGCAUACACUGACCGGGAUUGAGGAACGCAGCACGCCACUACGGCCAGGGAUUCGUCCCAUGUAACGUGCUUAGGAUGUUGGCAUAAUGGCUUUAAGCGACCCGUCUUGAAACACGGACCAAGGAGUCUAACAUGCCUGCGAGUAUUAGGGUGGAAAACCCUUGUGCGUAAUUAACGUGAAAGUUGGGACCUCUUGCGAGGGCACCGACGCCCGGCCCUGAAGUUUACUGACGGCGCUGCGGUAGAGCAUGUAUGUUGGGACCCGAAAGAUGGUGAACUAUGCCUGAAUAGGGUGAAGCCAGGGGAAACUCUGGUGGAGGCUCGUAGCGAUUCUGACGUGCAAAUCGAUC